rnacentral:lncRNA from 1 species
UCAAACCAACAAAAUAGAAAAAAAAAAAUCAACAAUGGAUUUUACAAAGAUGCUACAAAGAAUCAACAACAAAAAAAUAUGUGGAUGUAAUCAGGAAGCACUUAUCUCCUCACUAGAAACCAGAACCGGUGCGUAGAUCCGCCGUCGAAGUGUGUGGUUUCCUCACCGGCGAGCUUUUCUCCAUCGCAAUUUCACGAUUCCACA